rnacentral:rRNA from 1 species
AAACCGUUCAGGGGUAAACCUGAGAAACCCGAAAGUUCGAAAGGAGAGAUUCACCGCGACUCGUGUCGUCGGCGUGAUGCGUACGUACUUCGUCGGUGUUCUGCAUCGACGAGCGUCACGCGUCUCGUCAUGGCGUGCGAUCGCGUGCACUUCUCUCCCUGUAGGACGUCGCGACCCGUUGGGCGUCGGUCUACGAUCGACGGUGGAGUCCGCGAGGCGAUCGCCUUAAAACGAUCUCUCGCGAACCCGUCGUAUCUGGCCGACUCGCUCGACGGUAGAACUAAUGGCGCGGGGCCGCGACUUAUGUUCGCGUCCGGCCCGUCGCAAGCAAGUACGGUAAUUCGGUGCACUCGGCGACCUCGCGUCUCCGGUCCCGGAUCCGUGCUACUGUUCGCGACGGUGUCCUCGGACAGACUCCGUAUACACGCCUGUCAGCGACGCUUUCGUUUUGGGUACUUUCAGGACCCGUCUUGAAACACGGACCAAGGAGUCUAGCAUGCACGCGAGUCUUAGGGACUCUAACACUAAUCCUCUAAAGGCAAAAUGAAAGUAAAGGUCCGCCUUGCGCGCGACCUAGGGAAGACGAGAAGUUCCUCGCAAGAGGGGCGACUCCGCAUUCCCGGGGCGUCUCGAUCUCAUCGCGAGAUGAGGCGCACCCAGAGCGUACACGCU